CUCAUCAUAACCACUCGUUUCUAGUAGACUGUCGAAAAAGGGUAAUUUGGGACGCACCUGUCGUGCUGUCAAAAAGGCAGCUGCGACUCUCUUGGCUCCUCCGUGGCUUCCCUCAGAGACACUGGCGGUCACCACACCCCUCCGACUUUCAGUCCUUCACUCUCACUAUCCUCAUCCACAAAUCUUUCAUCCUCGCUCAAAUUAAUGGGGAAAUUGUCGCUUUCUGGGUCUGAAUCGAUCUAGCUGCUGGUGGCCAUGAUUGUAAACAAUGUGCGGCUGUGAGGAGCUCUACAACCAGUGACAUCACGUGCACAUCGUCUGCGACUUCCGGUACAGGCAAGGCUUUUUUUAUUAGCAACCAAAAGUUGCUAACUUUAUCGUCGAUAUUCUCUACUAAAUCCUUUCAGCAAAAAUAUGGCAAUAUCGCGAAAUUAUCAAGUACGACACAUAGAUUGGACCUACUAUUCCCGUUUAAAUAGGAAAAUCUAAUUUCAGUAGGCCUUUAAAGUAGCUUUAAUAAUGAUGCAAAAGUUGGAGGCUCCCAGUCAAUCACAGGGCACAUUGUGAAACAAAACAAAACAUUCAAACCAAUGUACAGUAUUAGAUGUCUAAAUAAUUGUGGAACAGGAUUUAAACAGUAGGACUGAAGUGGUAACCACAAAGCCACAUUGCACACACUGAGUAAAUAAAUUGCAUGAAUAUUCAUACAAUGGAAAAUAUGAAUGUGUGUGUUUAAAUGCAUCCCACAAGUUAUCUUGUAAAAAAAAAAGGUUGCAGGACCAGUCUUCACCUUUCUCUGUGUGUGCUCAACUGGCAGUCUCUAUUAUCAUACUUAGCAGUCACUGGAUCCACCCAGUGUGCUUAAUAUUACACACACACAAAUACACACGCAUACACACGCACGGACUGCUCUGGGCCUCCUGGAUGGUUGCAUAUAUUGAUAAGAGCAACUGUCGCUUGCAAAGGCAUUACAAGUGUACUUCAUAUACUGUAUAGUACAUUAAGGUGUACAGUAAUGCCCAUUGAGAUGGACUAAAAAGUGCAUCCGUGAUCAGCUAUGUUAUUGUAUUGUCCUUGCAUCCCAUUGAAUAAAGUGCUUGAGUACUUUUCU